rnacentral:rRNA from 1 species
UACAGAGGGGGCGAGCGUUGUUCGGAAUUACUGGGCGUAAAGGGCGCGUAGGCGGCCAACUAAGUCAGACGUGAAAUCCCUCGGCUCAACCGGGGAACUGCGUCUGAUACUGGAUGGCUUGAAUUCGGGAGAGGGAUGCGGAAUUCCAGGUGUAGCGGUGAAAUGCGUAGAUAUCUGGAGGAACACCGGUGGCGAAGGCGGGUCUCUGGGCAGUAACUGACGCUGAGGAGCGAAAGCGUGGGGAGCGAACAGG